CAUUAUUUUUAUCAUUCAAUUUGGCGAAUGUCUUAGACUGCCAAGAAUAGGUAUUUUCCCCUACCAGUUUUAUUUUUUUGACAUUUGACUGGUAUAAAAAGUGAAUCUAGAACAGCCUGCUGGGAAAAUGAAUUUUUCAGAUUCAUAUUCAAACUGACAACCCCGAACGAUUUGAAUCACUGCUGAUUUUACCCUAAGUUCAACACCGGAUGAAAGGGAGCUUGAGGAGAUCCUUUUAAUUCAAGAACAUCAGUGCGCUCCUCGGUCAUGGUUCUUAUUCGAUUUGGAAAAAUUUGAAAUACUUGAUGUUUUUUGUUAUUAACUGGUGAAUAAUCAACUGAAUUUUGCUUCCGGCCGGACAUCGACUACUGGAAAACUGCAGUCGGUAGUAAUGGAAGCUACCUUGCGAGUAAAUACAUCCUAUACAUGCUGAACAGAAAAUUCGGUGGAAGGUGGAUUUAUAGCGAAUCCAGAUUCAAGCGAGGAAUGUUAUUUCAAAUUAAAACAUUUUAAAUGUACGUAGAGUCCUAUAAGAAGAGUAACGUCAUGUGCCACGUUUGACAGGUCUCCUGCUCGUUUGGAACGCGCAUUUGUAUGGAACUGACAGACGAUUCUGUUCCAAUUCUGACACUUGACGACACUGUUAUUAUAGUCACUGUAAAUGUACGGUGGGCAACAUAUCCGCGUCCGUGCUACCGGUCAACAAUCAUCAAAAUGUCGGUCGGCCGUGGAAUACGAUGCAACAAUAAGCAGGCCAGAAUUAGAUGCUACAUAGGUGAGCAGCAGCUAACAACAAGCGCCAUAAUAUACAGCUUCAGAAAAUGGUAAUUCUUUGUACUUAGUACAUUGUAACAUACUUUCCAUAAAUAAAAAUGAUUUUGGUCACGUUAAAUAUUUUAUAAACAUUAUUUUCGUUUGAUAUUAAGAAAUAAGAAUAUACAAAAUGCAGUUUUGAAUCCCUUAUUAGAAAGGGCCUCCUGGUAAAAGCUCAAAAAAGUACCUAAAUAUGGGUAAUAUUCACCUAUAAACUGUUCCCACACUGAAACACCCAAAUAUGGGUAAACGGUGAUUCAUCCAUAUCUACACUGAGAGCAGCUUUACAGUUAAAAUUACUAUAUUGUACACUGAAAAAAGUUCCGUGGUAAAAACUACUAUUUUGUAGACUACGCUCUGUUUUCAAAACUACCAUGAAAUUUCAGUAAAUUAUACCAUGGUUUCAGAGAAAUUCACCACUGUUUUAGUUCUUGUGACAACGUUCCGCAUGGGUCACAGUUGAUUUUUACUGCCCACAUGGUAAAAUCAAACGGGUUUGUUUUCUGCUGAAAAUCGUCGGUGCAUAUUCUUAAAAUAACCCUCGGAAUAGUAGUUUCAACUGCAAUAUUUUUUUGUGUGUAGGGUUAAAUUAAAUACACAACGCCACUAGAUUUGUGCAGACUACGUAUUAUGAUUAUAUUAAAAACAACGAACUUUCAAUUUUACUAUGGGCUUCGAAAUAAACA